rnacentral:rRNA from 1 species
UACGAAGGGUGCAAACGUUGCUCGGAAUCAUUGGGCGUAAAGCGCACGUAGGCGGCCUCAUAAGUCGGAUGUGAAAUCCCGUGGCUCAACCAUGGACGUGCAUUCGAAACUGCGGGGCUUGAGUAUGGAAGAGGGUCGCGGAAUUCCCGGUGUAGAGGUGAAAUUCGUAGAUAUCGGGAGGAACACCAGUGGCGAAGGCGGCGACCUGGGCCAAUACUGACGCUGAGGUGCGAAAGCGUGGGGAGCAAACAGG